ACGUUUCUAACAUUGUCGCGCAUCGCACCAAACAAAUCGAUCUUUCUCCAUAUAGUAUUGCAUACAUAUAUGUAUACGUCCACAUAUAUAUACAUAUAUAUAUAUACGGAUCAAUUUUUAGUCAUAUCGACGAUUUAUCGUCGUUUAGAACAAAAGAAUGUCACAUAUAAAAGAUAUAUUGUCGACGAACGAAUCUCAAACGUCACUAUCCUUUUCUUUUAUAUCAGCUGUAAUUACUAUUAUUACUGGAUAGGUCACGUGGACGGAACAGCGCAUUAUUCUUUUUGUGCUGUAUUUAUAGUUAUUUACACAUCACGAACUCUUCUAUGGAUAGGAUAUAUAAUUGUGCAUAUAUGUAUAUAUAAAUUACAUAGAAAUUACAAUACAUCUUAUCUGUAUUUAUGUCGUAAUUACAAUGACAUACGAAAAUGUGCGUCAUUAGUUAUGCAUAACGAGAGUCAACAAA